AACGGAGGGGGCGAGAGUUUUCCGGAAUUACUGGGCGUAAAGGGCGCGUAGGCGGUUCUUUAAGUCAGAGGUGAAAACUGUCGGCUCAACCGGCAGCCUGCCUUUGAAACUGGAGGACUUGAGGGCAGGAGAGGGGAGUGGAAUUCCCAGUGUAGCGGUGAAAUGCGUAGAUAUUGGGAGGAACACCAGUGGCGAAGGCGGCUCUAUGGCCUGUUAAGGAAGCUGAGGCGAGCAAGCGUGGGGAUCACACAGGCGGCGAUAACCCGGUAGUCC
rnacentral:rRNA from 1 species